UACAGAGGUCUCAAGCGUUGUUCGGAUUCAUUGGGCGUAAAGGGUGCGUAGGUGGCGCUGUAAGUCGGGUGUGAAAUUUCGGAGCUUAACUCCGAAACUGCAUUCGAUACUGCGGUGCUUGAGGACUGGAGAGGAGACUGGAAUUCAUGGUGUAGCAGUGAAAUGCGUAGAGAUCAUGAGGAAGACCAGUGGCGAAGGCGGGUCUCUGGACAGUUACUGACACUGAGGCACGAAGGCCAGGGGAGCAAACAGG
rnacentral:rRNA from 1 species